rnacentral:tRNA from 1 species
AGGCACGUAGCUCAGCGGGAGAGCACCACCCUGACACGGUGGGGGUCGGCGGUUCGACACCGCCCGUGCCUA